rnacentral:misc_RNA from 1 species
AUAUAUAUUAAAAAAAAAAAAAGCAGUAUAAUCGCACAAAUAGAAUCUAAUCUAUUUAUAGCUUUUUAAUAAGCACUAACUAAUAAUCUCUUUCCACUAAAGCCUUUUUCACGUUCUACCCAUUAUUUUAUGUACACAGACACAGUCAUCAUAUAUAAUUAAUGUAUAUGAAAAAUGAAUUAAUACUAACUCACUCUUACACGAGCCAACUGCCACACGUGCGCUUAAAACUCCUUCAACGACAUGCUUCUAUGGCACUCUGAAGAAGGUGAAGGUAACCGCGAUGGGGGAAGCGACGGCGGUGCCUUCAAAUUCUGGAAGUACUCCCUAAUAUCCACCCCUUCAGUCGUUUCUGUUAGAUUAGUAUCAUCUCUGGCGGGAAUAAACGGUGGCCGUAAUACCUCAGUAAGUAGGUCCCACCUCAACCCUUUGAAGAACACGUGCUCCUUGAUCUCGCAUGCUCCUCGUUGAUAACCCAGCCUCUUCGUUGGAUCCUUCUCUAGCAACCGUUCGAUCAAGUCCGUUAACUCGUUUCGUUUCCCUACAAACUCCGGCUUCUUAGAUAAAAUGUUUCGAAACGUUUCCUUGCGAUUCUUCCCUUUAAAUGGUGUCGUGCCAUAUGACAUUUCGUACGUUAGAAUCCCCAACGCCCACCAAUCCACUGUGAACUCGUGUCCAUCCCCCCGUACAACCUCCGGCGACACGUAUUCCUCGGUACCCACAAACGAAUUGGAUCGUUCUCCAUUGCUGAAACUGAGUUUUCGCCGACUCACAGGGCUAACUCGGGCUGACUUGGCCUUUUUUAAGCCGGUUUUAUCUUUAAUGGGAAGUAUAGGGAGCCACCGGGUUAAAUUUCUUCGGUCGAAUCUGUGAGGGAUAGGAUGGCGAUGACGGUGCUUCUUUUGCGUAUCAAGAGAUAGAGCCAGAGAUUGAGGGUUCGCGGGUUGAUCAAAAUGGUGAUGAUCAGCAGAAGACAAAAUGGUUUUAACGGUCCUUUUUCUUAAAGUGCGAGAAAGGUCGAAGUCCGUGAGAGUAACGUGACCAGACUGUUGUAUGAGAAUGUUUUCAGGCUUCAGGUCCCGGUACACAAUCCCCAUCUCGUGUAGAUGUUCUAAAGCGCAUACUAUCUCGGCUAAAUAAAAGCGCACGACGGCCGGGGAGAAAACGCGAUCGUGUUGGCGGUAGCGGAGCACAUUGAGAUCACCACCAGAGCAGAAAGGCACGGCCCAAGCGAGGAAGUCUUGAGUCUCCAAGGAAGAUAUAAGAUGAGGGAGAAAUGGGUGGCUGUUCCGGCCGGAGAGUUUGGUGAGGACCUGGAUCUCCCAGCGGGCUCGUCGGUCGGCCUCGAAUUUCAUAUGGAGGGUGGAUUUCUCGACGACUUUGAGGGCAUAGGGUGUCCGAGCACAAGGGUCAGCUACCCUGUCGUGAACUAGAAACACGGUGCCCAUAGCUCCUUUGCCUAGGACUUUGAUGGCUCUAAGGUUGUCAAAGUCUAACUCCGUGGAUGAUGAUUGUUUUUGCUGCUUUGGUGGUGGCGGUGUAUCCAUUUUCAGAGAAGAAAAGGGAGGGAGAGAAAUUUAAGAGAGAGAGAGAGAGA